UUCCUUCCUUCUUGGCGCUUCUAUCUCAUCAAGGGUAGCAGUGUAUGUAAUGGAAGGUAUAUUAUGUCCUAUUUUGGAUGUUCGGGUCUCCUUCGGUGCUAUUCCAGUGAUUUUUCGAAUAGUGUCAUCCUCUGGGCUCGAGACAGCU
rfam:Ancylostoma duodenale strain Zhejiang A_duodenale-1.0_Cont289591.1, whole genome shotgun sequence.